rnacentral:lncRNA from 1 species
GAAAAUCAGCAAAUUUGUACCUGCAUUUCUCAAGUAAUAUGAAAAUGAUACUUAGAUGACAGCAAUGCUUAAUGGCCUUUUCCAUCCAUUUCCUGUAGUAACCUAAGUGCCUCACUUCAGAUUAUCUGAGAAUUUCCCACUGAAGCUUUAGAACAUGCAUGCCUUGUUUUUACAGCACUCUCCUUUUCUUUUAACCCUGUGUGAGGGAUAAAAGAGGAAGAAUUUUUCUCACAACUUAACCCUCAGAGGAGACGGUAAAGGGAAUAAAAUUGCAACCAAAGCAAGGGCCCAUUUACUAGGUCGGAGAGGGAUAAUGCCAGCUCCUUAGAUUAAAAUCUCUCAACGCUUCCUCUGAAAAGCAACAAGGAGAGCAAAUGAAACCAUACAAAACUGCCUUCUUUGGCAUCCCAUGGACACAGAGAGUGCCACAAUCCUCCAACUAUCUAAGGAAAGAAAUCAACACUGAAUUCCAGCAGACAUCGCUGUGACCUUGUUCCAUAAGCCUGGGUGGAAAUAAGGUGGUGCCUUGAAGAGACCGGGUAGAAAGAGGAUAGCAGAGCUCAGACAAGAUGACACCCAGAAUAGCAAGACCCAACCAAGAUCUCAAACAAGAAGGAAAAGCAAUUUCUGUGGCCCAAAUCAGAAUCAACUGGCAUAAUCAUAUAAGGAUUGCUUGCCUCAUUCUGACGAAUUUCUCAAGAUUUCUUCCUCUGCUAUGAAACAUUGAAGAAAGAAGGUAGAAAACGGCUUACACCCAGGCGUCACUAUAAUUAUUAUGC